GACGAACGCUGGCGGCGCGCUUAACACAUGCAAGUCGAGCGAGAACCCAGGCUUCGGCCUGGGGGAAAGCGGCGAACGGGUGAGUAUCACGUGGGUAAUCUGCCCUCGGCAUCGGGAUAGCCCGGGGAAACCCGGAUUAAUACCGAAUGGCCCAUCCGCUCUUCGGAGCGGCUGGAAAAGGUAGCUUCGGCCUCCGGCCGAGGAGGAGCCCGCGGCGGAUUAGCUUGUUGGUGGGGUAACGGCUCACCAAGGCGACGAUCCGUAGCUGGUCUGAGAGGGAGAUCAGCCACACUGGGACUGAGACACGGCCCAGACUCCGACGGGAGGCAGCAGUGGGGAAUCUUGCGCAAUGGGCGAAAGCCUGACGCAGCGACGCCGCGUGGGGGAAGAAGGCCUUCGGGUUGUAAACCGCUGUCAGAGGGGAUGAAAUGCGGAAGGGUUCACCCUUUCGUUUGACAUAGCCUCAGAGGAAGCACGGGCUAAGUACGUGCCAGCAGCCGCCGUAAGAC
rnacentral:rRNA from 1 species